rnacentral:rRNA from 1 species
GACGAACGCUGGCGGCGUGCUUAACACAUGCAAGUCGAACGGAAAGGCCCUGCUUUUGUGGGGUGCUCGAGUGGCGAACGGGUGAGUAACACGUGAGUAACCUGCCCUUGACUUUGGGAUAACUUCAGGAAACUGGGGCUAAUACCGGAUAGGAUCUCCUGCUGCAUGGUGGGGGUUGGAAAGUUUCGGCGGUUGGGGAUGGUCUCGCGGCUUAUCAGCUUGUUGGUGGGGUAGUGGCUUACCAAGGCUUUGACGGGUAGCCGGCCUGAGAGGGUGACCGGCCACAUUGGGACUGAGAUACGGCCCAGACUCCUACGGGAGGCAGCAGUGGGGAAUAUUGCACAGUGGGCGGAAGCCUGAUGCAGCAACGCCGCGUGCGGGAUGACGGCCUUCGGGUUGUAAACCGCUUUCGCCUGUGACGAAGCGUGAGUGACGGUAAUGGGUAAAGAAGCACCGGCUAACUACGUG